GCAAUUUAAAAAUCUCAGUUGUGAGGCAUGUUUAUGACUUGUUCCUGGCUAUGUCCAAAUCCGUAGCCUUUAGAAUAUAAUUGUUUGCAAUCUUUUUUUUAACCUCAAGCAAGAUCACUAUGUUUUGUUUUUUUAAAUCCUCUGGUCCACCAUGAUGUAGUGUCUUGCUUUGAAUGGGUACCAAGCAUGGCGGACAGCUGGAUGCAGAGAUGGUAAGUAGCAUUUACCUUGGUUUUCUGUACCUAGCUUUCAAUGCUUUUCCCAAGUAUGAUAUGGGGAUACAUUUACUUUAUGGGGUAAGGCAUAAUUUGAGGCAUAUCUUCAAGAUUUUAACUAGUUCCCCUUUUUAGUUUUAUAAAUUACAUCUUUCCAAUUUUAAAGCUUUUUGCUUCUGCUUUUAGAAAAUACAUCUUUCAAUUAAACCAGUAACUCUUGAUUAAUUUUUAUAGCUUUCCUCUGUCUUACAGAAUUAUUGUCUUCUUACUAUUUAAAAAUCAAAUAAUAACUUAGUGAGUAGAAAAGAACCUACCAGAAGUUUCACAUUCCAAUUUCUAAAACAUAUAUAUACAUAUGAGAUUUUCUCAUUUUUUGGCUGCUCCCAGAGCAACAGCCACUGAUGUUUCAGGCCAUGCCCAGGAGAGCAAGUCGUGUUUCCUGGCUCCCUAGUAGGUGACAAGUUGGGUGACCUCACCCACUGUGUUCUCCUCUUCUAUAUCAGGAGCAUCUGGAUGUUCAUAUCAUGCAGCACAGAGCUAUGAGUCAAGCCCAUUACCAGUAGCAGUACUUUUUUUCCCCUUAUUAUGAAACAAUGCUGAAUAAAAUAAAAUGAACAGAAUGACAUGUUUCCCCAACCGUCUGAGAUUCUUUGAAAAGGAGAAAAACAACUUAAGUUUAUAAGUGAGCUUGGUUUGAUGUGUCUCCAAGAAUUUUGUUUCCCUUUACUUUACAGGAACAAUAGAAUAGAGACAGAAAAUCAGGGACACCUUUUGUAGUGGUGGAUUCUAAUUAAUAUUAAGCAAUUCAUACCCAAUUACCAGUUAAAGUGAAAGAGACCCCUCAAGGAAAAUAAGGAAUCUCUAGAAACCAGUACUGUGGUUUUUUUUUAUUUUUUUUUUUUAUUCCAAAUUAACGGUCUUUCUAAAAAGAAAAUGUUUCCUUUCACUAAGAUACACAUCAGAUGAACAGAGGAACAGAGUUUGUGCUGGGCAGGAUGCCCAUCAUGGUGUGGCCUAGCCUUUGAAAUGUCACUGAGUGGCCACGCAUUUCUGAUAGGUCAGAAAGCCUAGGACCAACCUUCAAAAUGCCAGGUGCUGGUGUGCUAGGUCUUACCCCUGGAGCACCACAGAAAGUGACACUGGCCAGUCUUAUGGUGGUAGACUAUUUUGCAGCAAAGCCAAAAUUUACUGUGUAUGAUUGUCAGGACUGAGACUCACUGCUAUAGCCAUAUUGCUUUUGAAUGUAACUUCUUUCUUUUUAUUUUAAGUUAGUCUCUAUCUUUUUAAUUUUUUUCUAUGCAAUUCUCAAGGGAGAGAAGGUGACCUUUGGGACUCCUUGUGGGUUGCUGAGGGUCCGGGUCCUUGGUGUGUGACAUACUACCUGAGUGCAAGGGACACUGGAGAAUAUGGAGAAUGCAGAGCUCUUGCCUCAUGUCUGGUCCUUCCCUUACCCUCACAUCCCUUUCCUCCCUUAAUCCUGGGAAAGCUAUUUGAGGCCAUUAUUAUAGCUAUUUCCUCUGUAGAAAAGUCAAGAUCUGAGAGCUGACCAACUUGCACAGAGAAAAGAGUCAAGAAAAAACUGUUGAGGGAUUAGUGAUCAUUGAUGCAUCCAGCAUAGCAGGGAGGAGACUCAGGGUCUGAGGAACCUGGGCAGCAGUCCUCAGAGCACCACUUAAUAGUUUGGUUUUGAAAUUGCUUCACUCCUCUCAGCCUCAACUGCCUUAUCUGUGCAAUGAAAUAAUAAUACUGUCUCUGCAGAUGGUUGCAAAAUCUAAAAAUAAAUGUAUGCACUUUCUGCCCUGUCAUGCACAUAAUAGGAACUUCUGAAAAAAAUGUCCUGGUUAUGGUUUCCUGGGAAAGCCUGACAUUCACCAGUGAUUGAAAACCUAUUAAGUAUAGCAUGCCAUAUUUCAUCCAUUAUAUGGUGCAUGCAUUUGCAUAUUUUAACAUCUCUUAAAUUGAGAUGCUUCUUAGCAAAAACAGCUGCCUGAAUUCAAAGACAUACAGUAUAAUCCUCUUUUACUCCAUUUAAGAUAAUAAUGAAAAAUCUUUGCUAAAUUUGAACUCUUACUAUGUGGUACGUGUUGGGUAUUUAUUUGCUUGGAUCAUUUGACCUAAUUCUCUCAAUAACUAAAGAGUAGAAUCCCUUUAUAUAAGAGGCUGAGUACAUUUGACAUAGUGGGUAUGUAGAGAUAGAGCUAGAGUCCAAGGACAUGUGAGGUAGAAUGCCAUCUUAGGAAAGUGUUUAACCUUUCACCUUCCUCCAGUGAAAUAAUAUAAAUAUAUUUUUUCCACAAAAUCACUGUGCUUAUGCUUUGAGAUUAAGACAUAACCUCUGCUGCCAGCCUGCCUGCCUUUGAAUAUUGACUUUGUUACUUGCUGCAUAUGCAAUCUUGGGUAUUGACCUAAUAUCUUUCGGUUUUGAUUUUCCCACCUGCAAAGUGAAGAUAAUAAUUGAACACCUCCCAGUAUGUUAUAAGGAUUAGAUAUAUUAAUAUUGUGCAAAGCUCUCUAUGUCACUUACUGAGCCUUGCUUAAGAUUAGCUACUAUCAUUACUAAAUAAUAUGUUUUUAAGGUUUAAAGAAAAAUUUGUUUAAAAUGUAUCUGAUUCAGGCUGGGGACAAAAGUCAGUGGCAGAGAGCUUGUCUAGACUAGGCGAGGUCCUGAGUUCAAGGUCCAGCACUGCAAAAGCAAAGAAACUGACAAAAACAAAAAAAUAAAAGGAAACUAUCUGAUGCUGUGUAGUGCAGGUCCUAUUUGACGCAUGUCAUUUUGGAAAAUAUAAGUAGAGAACAGAGUUGGGUUUUAAAUUCACUAUAUUUAAUGUGUAUAUCAUAAGUAUAUCUUAACUGGGUGAGGCAUCUAGGAAAAAGAAUGAAAUGAUUUGCAAUUUAUGUCAUAAGUUUUUAUUUUAUUUGUGUUUUAUCUUAUUUGUGUCCACAGACCUCUCACGGGUCACUGAGGGAGAAGGUGGAAUGCUGGUGGUGCCCUAGCCCACCUGCUGUGGCAACUGUCCUCACACCUUAGGUGCAUAUGGGUCACCUGGAGAGUUGGAUGAAUAUAGAUCACUGUGCGACCUGGGGCCUGAGCAUCUGCACUGUAUCAACCCUGAUUCGAUACUCAUGCUGCUGGCUUAUGGACCACACUUUGAGAAGCACUGGCCUCAGAAUCUCCAAAGAUGCUGUAUAAAAAUCAGAGUCAAAGGAAACAAAGAAAUGGGUGUUUGAUGGUAGUCAUGACAUAGGGGGACACAUGUAAAUUUGGGGAAACUGGAGGGUUUAGUGGCCUUGAACAAGCCAUUUUUUAGCCAAAUGUGAUUCUAUCACAAGCCAUUUCUCAGCUCUCUGCUAAGGUGAACAUCAGUUAUACAGAAUUAGUUGUCUCCUUCCUCCCUAAAUAGGUUCACACUCUUGUCAGAAUAUAUCUUAGUUUGUAAUCAAUAGGAAUAUUAUUCCAUGGAUCUGCUGUUUGCACAUAUACACAUACAUAUACAUGUGUCAGUAAUACAUAUAUAUAUAUAUAUACACAUAUUUAUAUAUAUAUGCAAACAUUUCCAAAUUGUGUUGCACUAUACAUUUUAUCUUAAUCCUUAAAAAAUAAUAUUUCCCUCUCAAUUCUUUCACAUUUUCUAUUCCUGGGUGAGUGAAUGUUAGUUGGAAAGUUUCAGGGAAAUUAUUGUUACAGUCCAGUUUUCCCUUCUUCCAAUGUGACCUUUCCUCAAGCACCCAUUCAUGCUAGAUAUCAGCAAUGAUGCCAGCAGCAUCGGGGCUGAGGACAGCAGGCCUAACUGUGUCAACUGAGAAACACAGAAGACUUCUGAACUGACGAAGGUGUUGUGUGUGAGCCAAGAGAGCCGAGCUCCUGUGCAGUGGAGUUUUUCACUUUCAUGGAUGACAACAUAGGACACAAUUCAGUUGCACAAUUAAUAGCUUCUGCAGAGUGAGAUGAACUGUGUGCGCUUCUGUGUGUUGUGUGCACAUGUAUAAAUAAUUCAACCACUUAAUGUACUAUGUCCUGUUAAGAAUGUGGAACCUAGAGCCAGA
rnacentral:lncRNA from 1 species